rnacentral:rRNA from 1 species
CCUACGGGAGGCAGCAGUGGGGAAUAUUGCUCAAUGGGGGAAACUCUGAAGCAGCAACGCCGCGUGGAGGAUGACGGUUUUAGGAUUGUAAACUCCUUUUGUUAGAGAAGAUUAUGACGGUAUCUAACGAAUAAGCACCGGCUAACUCCGUGCCAGCAGCCGCGGUAAUACGGAGGGUGCAAGCGUUACUCGGAAUCACUGGGCGUAAAGCGUGCGUAGGCGGGGUAAUAAGUCAGAUGUGAAAUCCUGUAGCUUAACUACAGAACUGCAUUUGAAACUGUUACUCUGGAGUGUGGGAGAGGUAGGUGGAAUUCGUGGUGUAGGGGUAAAAUCCGUAGAGAUCAAGAAGAACACUCAUUGCGAAGGCGACCUGCUGGAACAUUACUGACGCUGAUGCACGAAAGCGUGGGUAGCAAACAGGAUUAGAUACCCGGGUAGUC